rnacentral:rRNA from 1 species
AACGAACGCUGGCGGCAGGCUUAACACAUGCAAGUCGAGCGCCCCGCAAGGGGAGCGGCAGACGGGUGAGUAACGCGUGGGAACGUACCUUUUGGUUCGGAACAACUCCGGGAAACUGGAGCUACUACCGGAUAAGCCCUAACGGGGAAAGAUUUAUCGCCGAAAGAUCGGCCCGCGUCUGAUUAGCUAGUUGGUGAGGUAACGGCUCACCAAGGCGACGAUCAGUAGCUGGUCUGAGAGGAUGAUCAGCCACACUGGGACUGAGACACGGCCCAGACUCCUACGGGAGGCAGCAGUGGGGAAUAUUGGACAAUGGGCGCAAGCCUGAUCCAGCCAUGCCGCGUGAGUGAUGAAGGCCUUAGGGUUGUAAAGCUCUUUUGUCCGGGAAGAUAAUGACUGUACCGGAAGAAUAAGCCCCGGCUAACUUCGUG